rnacentral:rRNA from 1 species
GCCAGACUCCUACGGGAGGCAGCAGUGGGGGAUAUUGCACAAUGGGGGAAACCCUGAUGCAGCGACGCCGCGUGAGUGAAGAAGUAUUUCGGUAUGUAAAGCUCUAUCAGCAGGGAAGAAAAAAGACGGUACCUGACUAAGAAGCCCCGGCUAACUACGUGCCAGCAGCCGCGGUAAUACGUAGGGGGCAAGCGUUAUCCGGAUUUACUGGGUGUAAAGGGAGCGUAGACGGCAAUACAAGUCGGAAGUGAAAUACCCGGGCUUAACCUGGGAACUGCUUUGGAAACUGUAUGGCUGGAGUGCUGGAGAGGUAAGCGGAAUUCCUAGUGUAGCGGUGAAAUGCGUAGAUAUUAGGAGGAACACCAGUGGCGAAGGCGGCUUACUGGACAGUAACUGACGUUGAGGCUCGAAAGCGUGGGGAGCAAACAGGAUUAGAUACCCUGGUA